GAUUUCUGGUACGGCGCACUUGGCCCGCUUCGGUUACGAGGUCGAGUGCCGGUGUGCGCCUGCCAUCCUUCUAGAAAACGUCUCUCCCUUCAGUGGGUUGGGCCGGAAUCUAGAUCAUUUACUUUGAAAAAAUUAGAGUGUUUAAAGCAGGCUUACGCUAUGAAUACAUUAGCAUGGAAUAAUAAUUUAGGACUUUGGUCUUAUUUUGUUGGUUUCUAGGACUAAAGUAAUGAUUGAUAGGGACAGUUGGGGGUGCUAGUAUUCAGCGGCCAGAGGUGAAAUUCUUGGAUUCGCUGAAGACUAACUUAUGCGAAAGCAUU
rnacentral:rRNA from 1 species